GAAAGCAACUAUCGUUAAUUGGACUAAGUAUGUUCUCUACACAUGCUUCUUUAUGAUAUAUUUGAAACUUUAUAUGAAUAAAUGAUACUAUUUUUCAUCUUUUCGUACUUUUUUGUUCCAACACUGUUACUACUUUGGCUCCAAUUUAAAUUAAAAAGAGGUUGUCAAUAGGUUCAUCUGAACAUGACGAUUGACAACCCAGCCAGAAUAGUACAUAUAGCCAAAGUUCAUUUUUCGUUGACACAUUCAAAACGAACUCAUGGUGCAAUACCUCGAGUUUCCCAAACCAGGAGGUGCUACCACCAACUGCAAUAGCUUGUGAUUUCCUCGCUUUGAAAUAUGUUCAAUACUGAGCAUAGAAGAUAUCACACAGAAGACUUCUCAUGUAUCCUGGGUUCUUCAGGUGGUUGGUAACUUUCAAGGUACUAAAUCUUCUGCAAAACACUGUUGAAUGGCUCUUGUAAAAAUUGCAGAGGAAUGAAGAUCACUUCCUGUUUGCAGUAAAGGUUGGGAGUACAAUUAGUCAGACAUGUCACUGGUGGGAAAAGAGUUACCCUCUUGUAGAAACUUCAGACAGCAUAGGCAUUCGAAAAAAGCUAGAAUAAGUACAUGUCUUGGAAUUGUAUCUUAGCAUAGAAGAGGUCAUACAGAAAACUUCCAUGUAUCCUGGGUUCUUGAGGUGGUUGGUAACUUUCAAGGUACUAAAUCUUCUGCAGAACACUGUUGACUGGCUCUUGUAAAUAUUGCAGAGAAAU
rnacentral:lncRNA from 1 species